AGGGUUUGAUGCGGCUCGAUUUAGAUCCGAGCCAACUCGACAGCUGUGUUAUCCACUGGUGCCAAAAACACAACUCUUUGUCUGCUGUCUGAGUCAGCUCUCUCAGAGCUCGAGCCGACUCGACUACUGACUGAUGCUUCUAUUGCUUCCUUCACAUCUUGUCCUUUUCUCAUCAAUUUUUAAAGCUUGGAAGCACCAUACCUAAGCUC
rnacentral:lncRNA from 1 species